UUCCAGAUGUAGGGCUAUGAGGCUGC
rnacentral:piRNA from 1 species